AUGGAACGCAUGGCUACUUCCUACUUCAAGGAAGUGUACACCAAGGACCCGACUCUCAACCCCGAUGUCGUUCUUGAGGCUAUUGGCCCUAAGGUGACUGAACAGAUGAACGCCAUGUUAUGUGCGCCGUUUACCGAGGAGGAAGUGUCGAAUGCACUGUUUCAAAUUGGUCCGCUUAAAGCUCCGGGCACGGAUGGCUUCCCGGCAAGGUUCUAUCAACGGAAUUGGGCAGCUCUAAAAUCUGAAAUCACAGCUGUUGUGUUGGAGUUCUUUGUCUCUGGCUCCAUGCCAGAAGGGGUUAAUGAUACGGCGAUCGUCCUCAUCCCGAAAGUUCCUCAUCCCAAGGAGCUCAAGGAUUUCAGGCCGAUCAGCCUCUGCAAUGUUAUUUACAAGUUGGUGUCUAAAUGUUUGGUUAACCGUCUCCGUCCCUGUCUGUCGGAGUUGAUUUCUGAGAAUCAAAGUGCUUUUAUUCCGGGCCGGCUCAUCUCGGAUAAUUCUAUAUUGCCUUUGAGUGCAUCCAUCACAUACAAUCGUUGA
rnacentral:rRNA from 1 species